rnacentral:RNase_MRP_RNA from 1 species
AAGCACGGCUUCGCAGCGCACAGACGGGGAGCUCGCUCCCGAGCUGCUGCGGGGAAAGUCCCCGUGCCAUGGGGCAGAGAGUGUCGGCGGGAGGCCGCAGGGCCGGGGCGCCGUCGCCGGCAGCGAUGCCUCGCGCAGAGCCUCAUGGCGGCAGGCGCCGCGGCCUUUCGCAGCAGCACAGAGAUGCCGUGCGCGCCCCGCAUCCGGGUCGCGAACAGACCGGGGCUCACUCUC